rnacentral:tRNA from 1 species
GGGGAGGUGGCUGAGUGGUCGAAAGCACCCGCCUGCUAAGCGGGUAGGGGGUGUAAAGCUCCCUCGCAAGUUCAAAUCUUGUCCUCCCCGCCA